AAUAUUGUCCAAUGGACGCAAGUCUGAACCAGCCCCGUCGCGUGAAGGAAGACGGCCCUACGGGUUGUGAACUUCGUUUGUAAGGUACUAAUGUGAGUCACGCGUGUCUUUUUGCAUGUACUUUACGAAUACGGAUCUGCUAACUCCGUGCCAUCCACUGCGGUAAUACGGAGGAUCCGAGCGUUAUCGGGAUUUAAUGGGUUUAAAGGGUGCGCAGGCGGGAGAUUAAGUCGGCGGUGAAAUUUUGCAGCGCAACUGUAAAAGUGCCUUCGAAACUGGUUUUCUUGAGUAUGGAUGAAGUAGGCGGAAUUUGUGGUGUAGCGGUGAAAUGCAUAGAUAUAACGAGGAACUCCGAUUGCGCAGGCAGCUUACUAAGCCAUAACUGACGCUCAUGCACGAAGGCGUGGGGAUCAAACAGG
rnacentral:rRNA from 1 species